rnacentral:piRNA from 1 species
UGAUGAAUUUGGUUAAAAAGGAUAAGGU